rnacentral:rRNA from 1 species
GAUGAACGCUGGCGGCGUGCCUAAUACAUGCAAGUCGUACGGAAAGGCCCUUCGGGGUACUCGAGUGGCGGACGGCUGAGUAACGCGUGGGAACGUGCCCCAAAGUGAGGGAUAACGCACCGAAAGGUGUGCUAAUACCGCAUAUGGUCUUCGGAUUAAAGCUUCGGCGCUUUGGGAGCGGCCCGCGUACGAUUAGAUAGUUGGUGAGGUAAUGGCUCACCAAGUCGACGAUCGUUAGCUGGUCUGAGAGGAUGAUCAGCCAGACUGGGACUGAGACACGGCCCAGACUCCUACGGGAGGCAGCAGUAAGGAAUCUUCCACAAUGGGGGCAACCCUGAUGGAGCAACCCCGCGUGCAGGAUGAAGGUUUUCGGAUCGUAAACUGCUUUUAUAAGUGAAGAAUAUGACGGUAACUUAUGAAUAAGGAUCGGCUAGCUACGUGCCAGCCGCCGCGGUAA